AAUAGUACCCAGGUAGUCCACGCCGUAAACGAUGAAUACUAGGUGUAGAGGUUGUCAUGACCUCUGUGCCGCCGCUAACGCAUUAAGUAUUCCGCCUGGGGAGUACGGUCGCAAGAUUAAAACUCAAAGGAAUUGACGGGGGCCCGCACAAGCAGCGGAGCAUGUGGUUUAAUUCGAAGCAACGCGAAGAACCUUACCUAGACUUGACAUCUCCUGAAUUACCUUUAAUCGGGGAAGCCCUUCGGGGCAGGAAGACAGGUGGUGCAUGGUUGUCGUCAGCUCGUGUCGUGAGAUGUUGGGUUAAGUCCCGCAACGAGCGCAACCCUUAUUGUUAGUUGCUACCAUUUGGUUGAGCACUCUAGCGAGACUGCCCGGGUUAACCGGAGGAAGGUGGGGAUGACGUCAAAUCAUCAUGCCCCUUAUGUCUAGGGCUACACACGUGCUACAAUGGCUGGUACAGAGAGAUGCUAAACCGUGAGGUGGAGCCAAACUUUAAAACCAGUCUCAGUUCGGAUUGUAGGCUGAAACUCGCCUACA
rnacentral:rRNA from 1 species